rnacentral:snoRNA from 1 species
CGCUGAAGGCGUGAUGAGUCUGUCAUGUCUCUUCUCUGACUGUCACUGGAGAAACAUUUACAUCUCUGAUCUUAGAACG